rnacentral:rRNA from 1 species
UUGCCCUAGUAACGGCGCAGUGAAGCGGCAACAGCUCAAAUUUGAAAUCUGGCUUCGGCCCGAGUUGUAAUUUGCAGAGGAAGCUUUAGGCGCGGCACCUUCUGAGUCCCCUGGAACGGGGCGCCAUAGAGGGUGAGAGCCCCGUAUAGUUGGAUGCCUAGCCUGUGUAAAGCUCCUUCGACGAGUCGAGUAGUUUGGGAAUGCUGCUCAAAAUGGGAGGUAAAUUUCUUCUAAAGCUAAAUACCGGCCAGAGACCGAUAGCGCACAAGUAGAGUGAUCGAAAGAUGAAAAGCACUUUGAAAAGAGGGUUAAAUAGCACGUGAAAUUGUUGAAAGGGAAGCGCUUGUGACCAGACUUGCGCCGGGCGGAUCAUCCGGUGUUCUCACCGGUGCACUCCGCCCGGCUCAGGCCAGCAUCGGUUCUCGCGGGGGGAUAAAGGUCCUGGGAACGUAGCUCCUCCGGGAGUGUUAUAGCCCGGGGCGUAAUGCCCUCGCGGGGACCGAGGUUCGCGCAUCUGCAAGGAUGCUGGCGUAAUGGUCAUCAGCGACCCGUCUUGAAACACGGACCAAGGAGUCAAGGUUUUGCGCGAGUGUUUGGGUGUAAAACCCGCACGCGUAAUGAAAGUGAACGUAGGUGAGAGCUUCGGCGCAUCAUCGACCGAUCCUGAUGUUUUCGGAUGGAUUUGAGUAGGAGCGUUAAGCCUUGGACCCGAAAGAUGGUGAACUAUGCUUGGAUAGGGUGAAGCCAGAGGAAACUCUGGUGGAGGCUCGCAGCGGUUCUGACGUGCAAAUCGAUCGUCAAAUCUGAGCAU